CAAGACCGCGUGGGGGAAGAAGGCUCUUGGGUUGUAAACCCCUUUUCUCUGGGAAGAAAGUUGUGAAAGCAACCUGACGGUACCAGAGGAAUCAGCAUCGGCUAACUCCGUGCCAGCAGCCGCGGUAAGACGGAGGAUGCAAGCGUUAUCCGGAAUGAUUGGGCGUAAAGCGUCCGCAGGUGGCAGUUCAAGUCUGCUGUCAAAGACCGGGGCUUAACCUCGGAAAGGCAGUGGAAACUGAACAGCUAGAGUAUGGUAGGGGCAAAGGGAAUUCCUGGUGUAGCGGUGAAAUGCGUAGAGAUCAGGAAGAACAUCGGUGGCGAAGGCGCUUUGCUGGACCAUAACUGACACUCAGGGACGAAAGCUAGGGGAGCGAAUGGGAUUAGAUACCCCCG
rnacentral:rRNA from 1 species